rnacentral:tRNA from 1 species
GGAGAGGUGGCAGAGUGGUCGAAUGCGGCGGUCUUGAAAACCGUUAGCCCUUCGGGGCUCGGGGGUUCGAAUCCCUCCCUCUCCGCCA